UGCGGCCGGUGCGGCUGCCCACUGGUACCUUUGGGCGCGCACAGGCCCACAGCCGGGGUCAUAGGUGGGGAGCGGAUACUGUCCAUCCUCAAUCCGGGCCCUCACA
rnacentral:snoRNA from 2 species